rnacentral:rRNA from 1 species
AGUGGGGAAUAUUGGACAAUGGGGGCAACCCUGAUCCAGCCAUGCCGCGUGAGUGAUGAAGGCUUUAGGGUUGUAAAGCUCUUUCGCCGAUGAAGAUAAUGACGGUAGUCGGAGAAGAAGCCCCGGCUAACUUCGUGCCAGCAGCCGCGGUAAUACGAAGGGGGCUAGCGUUGUUCGGAAUUACUGGGCGUAAAGCGCGCGUAGGUUGCGCAGCAAGUCAGGGGUGAAAUCCCAGAGCUUAACUCUGGAACUGCCUUUGAAACUGCUGCGCUGGAAUCUCAGAGGGGAUAGCGGAAUUCCAAAUGUAGGGGUGAAAUCCGUAGAUAUUUGGAGGAACACCGGUGGCGAAGGCGGCUAUCUGGAUGAGUAUUGACACUGAGGCGCGAAAGCGUGGGGAUCAAA